AACGCACCUUGCGCCACGUGGUAUUCCACGGGGCACGCCUGUUUGAGUGUCACGAAAACCCAUCGCGUCGUGGAUUGUCAUGAUCUGCGGGGCGGAUUUGGACGCUGCCGUAGUUGGCUCGUCUCGAAAUGCAUUAGCCAGUCCGAGGACGCGCGCCAUUGGUGUGAUAAUUCACUUUGCGCCGCUGGUGUGUCUGACGAAGGCUCAUAAUCGCCUGCAAGGGCAACACUUUAAUGCUCUGGCCUCAAAUCAGGUGGGACUACCCGCUGAACUUAA
rnacentral:misc_RNA from 1 species